rnacentral:tRNA from 1 species
UGGGGGAUAGUUUAGCGGUAGAACUCGCGGCUCUGACCCGCGCAGCCCUGGGUCGAAUCCAGGUCCCCCAGCCA